ensembl:lncRNA
CUAAUUUCAUAUUUAAUUUUGAGGACCCGCACACACACACACACACACCACACACACACACAUACACACACAAGAAGAUAUAAUAUCUGCUUCUACAUCUUGUCACGUUAGCAUCGCCAGUAAAUUAAGCAUAAAACUGGUGUUUAUAUACCCUGAAUAUAUAUUUUUAUUUACUUACUGCAAUGCUAAUUUGUGGCGUAUUGUUUACUAUAAUGCUAGUUCAAGUGUUAGCUUCUUUACUAUAAUGCUAGUUAAAAUGUUAGCUUCUUUACUAUAAUGCUAGUUAUAGUGUUGACUUCUUUACUAUAAUGCUAGUUCAAGUGUUAGCUUCUUUACUAUAAUGCUAGUUAAAAUGUUAGCUUCUUUACUAUAAUGCUAGUUAUAGUGUUGACUUCUUUACUAUAAUGCUAGUUCAAGUGUUAAUCUGUUUACUAUAAUGCUAGUUCGUGUUAGCUUCUUUACUAUAAUGCUAGUUAUAGUGUUGGCUUCUUUACUAUAAUGCUAGUUCAAGUGUUAAUCUGUUUACUAUAAUGCUAUUCAGUGUUAGCUUCUUUACUAUAAUGCUAGUUCAAGUGUUAGCUUCUUUACUAUAAUGCUAGUUCAAAUGUUAGCUUCUUUACUAUAAUGCUAGUUCAGUGUUAGCUUCUUUACUAUAAUGCUAGUUCAAGUGUUAGCUUCUUUACUAUAAUGCUAGUUCAAAUGUUAGCUUCUUUACUAUAAUGCUAGUUCAAGUGUUAGCCUCUUUACUAUAAUGCUAGUUCAAGUGUUAAUCUGUUUACUUCACUGCUAGUUGAAGUGUUAGCUUCUUUACCAUAAUGCUAGUUCAAGUGUUAAAGAGCUAACUGUAAUGCUAGUUCAAGUGUUACUGAUUGCUAUAAUGCUAGUUAAUGGGUUAAAAUGAUAUCCACCGUGCUAGUUACUGUGUUAGCUAUUUCAGGAUUAUGCUAGUUCAGGUGUUAGCCUGAGGAGAAUAGCGCUCAGCAACAGGUUCAAAUCAUUACUAUAAUGCUAAUUACCGUGUUAGCUAGUUCAUGAUUUCGCGUGAACGUGUUUAACCCGUUCUGUACAGCGCUAGUUUGUGGGUUAGCCUGUAACCAGUUUGAUCAUAGCCUACUACAAAGAUGAAUCGCUUCUAUGUUUUGAUAAACAUUUGAUCUAGUUAGCUUAUUGUCAUUAAAAGGAGACAGGAAUAUCAACAUUUACCUCAGAUAUGUUGGGAGGAAGGAUACACUUUAAUCACACUUAGCAUCGACUGCGAACUGGAUUCCUGCGAGUGAUCACCUAGGUAACUCGUGUUUUUAAACCACG